rnacentral:rRNA from 1 species
GACAGAGGAGGCAAGCGUUUCUCGGAGUUACUGGGCUUAAAGGGCGCGUAGGCGGUCGUGCACGUCGGGGGUGAAAUCCCCGGGCUCAACCCGGGAACUGCCUUCGAUACGGCGCGGCUAGAGUGUGGGAGGGGAGAGUGGAACUCCUGGUGGAGCGGUGAAAUGCGUAGAUAUCAGGAGGAACGCCGGUGGCGAAAGCGGCUCUCUGGACCACAACUGACGCUGAGGCGCGAAAGCCAGGGGAGCAAACGGG